UACGGAGGGUGCGAGCGUUGUCCGGAAUCACUGGGCGUAAAGGGCGCGUAGGCGGCCUGAUAAGUAGGGGGGUGAAAUCCUGUGGCUUAACCGCAGGGCUGCCUUCUAAACUGUCGGGCUAGAGCACAGUAGAGGCAGGUGGAAUUCCCGGUGUAGCGGUGGAAUGCGUAGAGAUCGGGGAAGAACAUCAGUGGCGAAGGCGGCGACCUGGUCCAUUACUGACGCUGAGGCGCGACAGCGUGGGGGAGCAAAACAGGG
rnacentral:rRNA from 1 species